rnacentral:rRNA from 1 species
AGCGAACGCUGGCGGCAGGCUUAACACAUGCAAGUCGAGCGCUCGUAGCAAUACGAGAGCGGCAGACGGGAGAGUAACACGUGGGAACGUACCCUUUGGUUCGGAACAACACAGGGAAACUUGUGCUAAUACCGAAUAAGCCCUUACGGGGAAGAUUAUCGCCGAAAGAUCGGCCCGCGUCUGAUUAGCUAGUUGGUGGGGUAAUGGCCCACCAAGGCGACGAUCAGUAGCUGGCUGAGAGGAAU